GUUUUUAUAGUUUAAAAAAACAUUGGUCUUGUAAACCAAAAUUAUGAAUUUUUCAUUAAAAACU
rnacentral:tRNA from 5 species